CCAAAUUCUUCCACGCCUAGGAGUAGCCACGCUACCACCUCCUCAGCUAUGCGGUGUCAGGGCAGUCCAUGCCACACCAUCAUGAUGUUUGACGUCCCAUGAGUCUAGAACCCAUUUAAGAUGGGAAACGGGCUCAGAGAGGCCCAUCUAUAGUAUCUUCAAUGCCUAGCACACGCCUGGCUGUUGGUCCUUAAAAAAAAGAGAUCUAUAUUUUUAUGAGGUAGCCGGCUUCCAGGAUGGCCCCCCCAAGGAUCCCUGCUUCCUGGUGUUCAUGCCCACAGUAGUCCUCUUCCACAAUCACUUGCUCUGGAGGAAGCUAGUGCCAUGUUAUGAGGAUACUCAAGCAGCCCCAUGGAGAGGUCCAAGUGCGACAGAACUGAGGCGUCCUGCCAACAGCAAACACUGACUUGCCAGGCAUAUGAGCCACCUAACAAAUGGAUCUUCCAGCCCCAGUCGAGCCUUCACAUGAUUGCAGCCUGACUGAUACCUUACUGCAACCUCAGGAAACCCUGAGUCAGAACUAUCCUACUCCUGAUUCCUAACCCACAACAUCUGUGAUAUAAUGUUUUGAAAUUAAUUAUACCGUAAUAGAUAAUUUAACCCAUG